GACGAACGCUGGCGGCGUGCUUAACACAUGCAAGUCGAACGGGUCUGCCUUGUUUUUUGCGGGGUGGGUCAGUGGCGAACGGGCGAGUAACACGUGAGUAACCUGCCCCUCACUUCUGGAUAACCGCUUGAAAGGGUGGCUAAUACGGGGUGUUCUGGCUGUGCCGCAUGGUGUGGCUGGGAAAGAUUCACUUUUGUGGUGUUUUGGUGGGGGAUGGGCUCGCGGCCUAUCAGCUUGUUGGUGGGGUGAUGGCCUGCCAAGGCUUUGACGGGUAGCCGGCCUGAGAGGGUGGGCGGUCACACUGGGACUGAGAUACGGCCCAGACUCCUGCGGGAGGCAGCAGUGGGGGGUAUUGCACAAUGGGCGGAAGCCUGAUGCAGCGACGUCGCGUGAGGGAUGGAGGCCUUCGGGUUGUGAACCUCUUUCGCCGGUGAAGAAGGUCCUGUUCUUUGUGGUGGGGCUGAC
rnacentral:rRNA from 1 species